CGACGUCUGUUCCUCUUCCUGUGUGAAGUCAAUCAGGAGGAUUUUAAGACGUCGCAGAGCAAAUUGAGUCUUUUUCACCCAGAGAGCUUCAGGCAGCUGCAGCCAAUCAGAACUUCUGGUAGCUGCAGCAGCCAAUCAUCA
rnacentral:snoRNA from 1 species